AUAAAAUGGAAGUUUUUACAUAUUGCCGUAUCAAUGUCAAACACAAAAAGGAACCUGUAGUUUUUACCAAUGCUAUACUAACUGCUCAUAUUUCCGAAGAAGUGACAGCAAAGUAUAGCGAUACAUGACAGUUCCAUGUACAAAAAUUUUCUAUAUGCCUAUUAUGGAAAUGCAUCAACAAAGCUUCGGGCUUUCACUAAACGUAGCUUCCAAAAAGAAGGCCAAAAAUUGCAUUUGUACAACUAUAUGCCAUAAGCCCGCCUCCUACUUGACCUCCGUCUUGGUGGAACUGGUUCCCAUUUGGCAAUGACACCAUCCCAGGAAGAGCUAACCAUCAUAGGGUAGACAGGAUGCCAACUACAGUCUCUUACAGCACCUUCAUGAUAAUCAAGUCUUGCAACUUGAGCCCCACUCACCAGAUCAUAAAUAUAAACAGAACAAUCGCUAGAUCCACUGUAAAUGUACUUUUGACCAGUGCUAUAUUCUGGAGAGAAGUAACAGCGAAUCAGAGUGCGCAAGACUGAAUGACCUCUGUAUGUGGCCAAUGACUGAUCAUGAGGAUGUUUCAAGGUUCUUGCAUGGGGUGUGUACUCCAUCCAUCUGUAGUCCCAGCCAGUAUCUCCUAGAAUUGGAGCGCUGGUUAAAGAGAAAUGUUAAUUAACAACAUAAAUUGAAAAAAUAUGCUUGACUUAAGUAAAGCAUAACUGAUUCAAGUACAACAAACAAGAUCAUAUGAUAACUACAAUUCCUUAUCUCCCAGUCUGUCCUUUUAAAAGUUCCAUUCUGGUAAUGUUCAUCUAACACUUCAGUAAAAGAAGUUUCUGUAUGGACUACAAUAACUAGAAACCCCUCAAGCCCUCGACUGUCCUUCCUUUCUGACCCUCUUUACAGUUAUUUCAUAAUGUUAGCCCACCACAGAAAGUCAAGCCACAAUUUUCUUACUCAAGCCUAUUGUCUUUAUCCAUGAUUAUAAACUCCUGGAAAGAUCUUUAUCUCAUAUUGCCAAGGAAAAAAAAAUUAGAAAAACAAAAAACCUUUAACAUUUGUGCAACCCCAAAAACAACGUUUAGUAUCUUCCAAGACUUUCAGUAGGCGGCAUAAGCCAAGACAGAAAUGCAACUUCUUUCAAAUACCAUAAACUGAAACAGACAUGCAACUCUAAAAUUAUUAACAUCAACCUUUUUGGACCUCAACUUGGCUCCAGCCAAGCCUCAUCCAUCAGCAGAUAAUAUUAAUUAUGUAUAUUUCACAACCUGCAAGCAUUUUAGAUGACUGCCUACUAACAAGAAUGGCUCAAACACAAACCAUAUGAGUAUAUACUAACGAAAGAAUGAUUGCGUCCUAAAAAGCAUGGAUCAUACACAAACCAUAUGAAUAUAUUCUUAGGAAAGAAUUACAAGUAUUAAAAGUCAAGCACAAAGAUCUGGAAAUGAGUGUGUAUGUGUUGGAUAAGAUCAGAAAGGUAGGAAAUAACAUUUUGCACCAUGUGGCAUUAGAGGACAUCUUUCGUAUAUCCCAUAGUUUGGUAGUUUGAUCUUUUCCAUUUGAAAUUAAAUAACGCCCAUCACCACGACUGUCUAAGAAUGUAAUGCCUUUUAGAUGUCCAAUCAAGAUCCCUGCCGCUUUUCCUCUGCCGGUAAAGCAGCGCCUAUCCCACACCUUACAGAUGUUAUCAUCACUUCCAGAAUAUAUGAUAUGGCCAGUUUCAUCCGCAAAACAUACUGUGUUAACAUCAGACUGAUGGGCAUGGAUUCGGAGGCUAUUCUUAUUUGCCUCAAGAUCAUAAACAUAUAUUGCAUUAUCACUACUUCCAGCUACAAGUUCUCGCCCAUCUGUUGAAAAUUUCACAGAGAAGAUCCCA
rnacentral:misc_RNA from 1 species